rnacentral:rRNA from 1 species
UACGGAGGAGGCAAGCGUUAUUCGGAAUUAUUGGGCGUAAAGCGUCCGCAGGUGGCACUUCAAGUCUGCUGUCAAAGACCGGGGCUUAACUUCGGAAAGGCAGUGGAAACUGAACAGCUAGAGUAUGGUAGGGGCAGAGGGAAUUCCUGGUGUAGCGGUGAAAUGCGUAGAGAUCAGGAAGAACAUCGGUGGCGAAGGCGCUCUGCUGGACCAUAACUGACACUCAGGGACGAAAGCUAGGGGAGCGAAUGGG